UGGGGAAUAUUGCACAAUGGGCGCAAGCCUGAUGCAGCCAUGCCGCGUGUGUGAAGAAGGCCUUCGGGUUGUAAAGCACUUUCAGCGAGGAGGAAGGUGGUGAGCUUAAUACGCUCAUCAAUUGACGUUACUCGCAGAAGAAGCACCGGCUAACUCCGUGCCAGCAGCCGCGGUAAUACGGAGGGUGCAAGCGUUAAUCGGAAUUACUGGGCGUAAAGCGCACGCAGGCGGUUUGUUAAGUCAGAUGUGAAAUCCCCGGGCUCAACCUGGGAACUGCAUUUGAAACUGGCAAGCUAGAGUCUCGUAGAGGGGGGUAGAAUUCCAGGUGUAGCGGUGAAAUGCGUAGAGAUCUGGAGGAAUACCGGUGGCGAAGGCGGCCCCCUGGACGAAGACUGACGCUCAGGUGCGAAAAGCGUGGGGCAGCAAACAGGAUUAGAUACCCUGGUAGUCCACGCUGUAAAACGAUGUCGAUUUGGAGGUUGUGCCCUUGAGGCGUGGCUUCCGGAGCUAACGCGUUAAAUCGA
rnacentral:rRNA from 1 species